rnacentral:rRNA from 1 species
UACGUAGGGUGCGAGCGUUGUCCGGAAUUAUUGGGCGUAAAGAGCUCGUAGGCGGUCUGUCGCGUCGGUCGUGAAAACUUGGGGCUUAACCCUGAGCUUGCGGUCGAUACGGGCAUGACUGGAGUUCGGUAGGGGAGACUGGAAUUCCUGGUGUAGCGGUGAAAUGCGCAGAUAUCAGGAGGAACACCAGCGGCGAAGGCGGCGCUCUGGGCCGGUACUGACGCUGAGGAGCGAAAGCGUGGGGAGCAAACAGG